UCACAAUUUUCUUCAUCGUUCUCAUCAAAGCCUUGUCAACAUCAUGAAUUUGUGAGGAUUCCGUUUGAUUCUCCGACCGAGAUGGUUUGCUUGCCGGAACAUGCGGUGAGAUGAAGAGAUGCCAUGAUUAUGUUCAUACUCUUGUCCUGCCAAUUUAAGUUCACAUACGAAACUACGUAAGUUUUCACUUCAUUAGUAUUGAAUGAUUCUAUCAGGUACUUCUUCGCACCA